rnacentral:rRNA from 1 species
CGAGUGAAGCGGCAAAAGCUCAAAUUUGAAAUCUAGCACUUUCAGUGUUCGAGUUGUAAUUUGAAGAAGGUAACUUUGGAAUUGGCUCUUGUCUAUGUUCCUUGGAACAGGACGUCACAGAGGGUGAGAAUCCCGUGCGAUGAGAUGUCCAAUUCUAUGUAAAGUGCUUUCGAAGAGUCGAGUUGUUUGGGAAUGCAGCUCUAAGUGGGUGGUAAAUUCCAUCUAAAGCUAAAUAUUGGCGAGAGACCGAUAGCGAACAAGUACAGUGAUGGAAAGAUGAAAAGAACUUUGAAAAGAGAGUGAAAAAGUACGUGAAAUUGUUGAAAGGGAAGGGCUUGAGAUCAGACUUGGUAUUUUGUGUUCCUUAUCCUUCUUGGAUUAGGUUCCUCACAGCUUACCGGGCCAGCAUCGGUUUGGAUGGCAGGAUAAUGACAUUGGAAUGUAGCUUUGCUUCGGUGAAGUGUUAUAGACUUUGUUGAUACUGCCUAUCUAGACCGAGGACUGCGUCUUUGACUAGGAUGCUGGCGUAAUGAUCUUAAGCCGCCCGU